rnacentral:rRNA from 1 species
ACUCCUACGGGAGGCAGCAGUAGGGAAUCUUCCACAAUGGGCGCAAGCCUGAUGGAGCAACACCGCGUGAGUGAAGAAGGGUUUCGGCUCGUAAAGCUCUGUUGUUAAAGAAGAACACGUAUGAGAGUAACUGUUCAUACGUUGACGGUAUUUAACCAGAAAGUCACGGCUAACUACGUGCCAGCAGCCGCGGUAAUACGUAGGUGGCAAGCGUUAUCCGGAUUUAUUGGGCGUAAAGAGAGUGCAGGCGGUUUUCUAAGUCUGAUGUUGAAAGCCUUCGGCUUAACCGGAGAAGUGCAUCGGAAACUGGAUAACUUGAGUGCAGAAGAGGGUAGUGGAACUCCAUGGUGUAGCGGUGGAAUGCGUAGAUAUAUGGAAGAACACCAGUGGCGAAGGCGGCUACCUGGUCUGCAACUGACGCUGAGACUCGAAAGCAUGGGUAGCGAACAGGAUUAGAUACCCUGGUAGCUCGAUG